rnacentral:rRNA from 1 species
AACGAACGCUGGCGGCAUGCCUAACACAUGCAAGUCGAACGAGACCUUCGGGUAUAGUGGCGCACGGGUGCGUAACGCGUGGGAACCUGCCCUUAGGUUCGGACUAACUCCCCGAAAGGGGUGCUAAUACCGGAUAAUGUCUUCGGACCAAAGAUUUAUCGCCUUUGGAUGGGCCCGCGUUGGAUUAGCUAGUUGGUAGGGUAAAAGCCUACCAAGGCGACGAUCCAUAGCUGGUCUGAGAGGAUGAUCAGACACACUGGGACUGAGACACGGCCCAGACUCCUACGGGAGGAAGCAGUGGGGAAUAAUGGACAAUGGGCGAAAGCCGGAGCCAGCAAGGCCGCGUGAGUGAUGAAGGACUUAGGGUUGUAAAGCUCUGUUACCAGGGAUGAUAAUGACAGUACCGGGAGAAUAAGCUCCGGCUAACUCCGUG